GCUGUUCCAUGUGCGAAAAUUUGAUCCAUGAGGUGCAUAGGAGGUAGAACAAUGAUGAACUUGUCCUCUGUGAAAACUUCGUUAGCCUGUGCACAUGCAAAUUGUAAAAGUUCAAUAGUUAUACUAGCAUGUUGGUUUUCUAAACAGGAACGGAUGGAAUAUUUUAUGAAAUGAACCAAGCAAUCCAACAUCAACGACACAUAUAGAGACAAAGAGAUCAUAUUUCCAACAAGAAUAAUGCUUGAAUUUAGAUGGACAAAAUUUAAAUAUUCAGCAGUAAGAACAACAAGAAUUCAGAAUUGAGAGAAGUACCAUUCACACUUAACACCAUCCACUUAUAGUCUCCUCUCAUUAACGUUUUUUAGUUAAUGAAGUUUCAAUAAUCUAAUUAUGCCCCUGUUUAGAGAGAGAGAGAGAGCAAGAAGAGAGAGACUUUAUUUGCAAUGUAAAGGAAGAUGCCAACAAUUACCCCUUCCAUUAUGAUUCAUAGAUUCAUUUCUGUGGUUCACUCUUUCUGCCAAGGAUUUACACGAAUAUGAACUUUAGCUGCUUUUUGAGCAUGCAAUGCAAAUAAUACCUAACGAACAAGUCGGUUCCAUAUUACAUUUCGUCCUUCUACAUGAAUAAUCAAAGAGAGAGAGAGAACAAUAUUUCUGCACCCAAAGAUACAGAGCGAUUAGAGAGAGAGAGCACAAAAUGAAGCCUAGAUUUAUAAUAAGGAGAAAGUUUAUAGAAGGAUGCAACUUUAUAAUGUAGAACUAUGGAUGCACCUCAAAAAUCCAUCGAAAAAUGUAGUUUUAAUGUUGAAAAACCUUUUGAUUGAUCAUCUUGACAUCAAAAUGUAUGACCAUGAAAAAUAAAAAGAUUUUAAGUCUCAGAAAUAGUGCAUUUUACAACAUAUUAUCUACACCAUCCAUUUUCAAGAUUUUCAUAUGUUUAUAGAUCUACUUGAUUUUAACCAUUUUUUAAAUUUAAAAUUUUAUAAUUAGAUAUAAAAAAAAAUUUUGAUAUAAUCCUAAGAACAUUUUACAUCAAAAUUAUAUACCAUGAUAAAACUUGAAGGUGCACCUUAUCGUAUGCAUCUGUAUGCCAACUGCACCCUUAUAAUAAAGACAUAUACAAGGAUUACAUGAAUGAAUAAACUAAAACCCCAAAAAGUUGUGAUUUACCAAUAAAAAAGCCUAUUUAUAGUAAAUAUAUUCAAGGAUUACAUGUAUGGAAAACUAAAAAUCCCCAAAAAGCUCUGAUUUACCAAAAUAAAAGCCUAGAUUUAUACUAACUAGAUAUAAGCUACAAAAAAAACAAAAAAAAUAAAAAUAAAUCAAAGAACAAAUUUUACCUACUGAUCUAAGAACAAGCUCCACAAAGUCCUUGUUGAUGGAUCAUUUCUUCUUAAAAAACCCAUUGCUACAAUGGAGUGGGAAUCUCAAGACUCACAAAGGUAGAGCGAUUUCUGACCUUGGCUAAGUCUAGGCAGAGCUGCAACAAUGGAGGGUGGAUUUGUGUUGUUUCUCAAAUUGCCUGAUUUUACCAAAACCUAGUUUUUAUGACAUAAUGUAGAGUCAAAUUGCCUGAUUUUAUCAAGAUCUAGACAUGCAAAACAAGGUUUUAUGUAUGCCUAAUUCCAAACGGGGCAAAAAUGUUUCCAAGGUAUCAAACUUUUAAUUAAUUAGGUAUAUAUCAUCUAUAAAGGUUAUAAAAUACUUCAUACCUCUAUGUGUCUUAACAUUCAAUAGUCUGCCUAUAUUUGAGUGGAUUAUAUUAAAAAAUUCUUAUUAUUUUUGUCUAUUAGGGAAUAGCUUCCUACUCAAUUUUCUUGAUAGGCAAGGUUUACAAGUUUGGAAUUCAAUUUCUCUAAUCUCAAGCACCAUAUAUAUGCAUCAUUUUUAGACACAUUCAUUGCCAUAUCAAUAUAAGAAGAAGUAACAUUAUUCAUUCUUUUAACAACAUUUAGACGAUACAAAUUUUUAACUUUCUCCCCAUAAACAUAAACUUGACUAUGUUUCCCAGCAGAUACCUUUCCAGACAAAAACAGAUUUCACAACCUUUACAAAUAGGAGUUUUCAUUAGUUUGCAUAUUUCCAUCUUAAAUCCCUUCAAGAACAUUCUCUAGAUAUUUGUCUUGAUAUAAGUAAAGAAGCCUAGUAUUUCUAUCGCUUGUAAUCUUUAUCCCUAAAACAUAUGAUGUUUCUACCAUAACCUUCAUUUCAAAAUGUGAAUUAAAUUAAGAUUUAGUUUUAUUUAUCAUUUCUAUACCACUACCAACUAAUAGAAUAUCAUCUAUAUAGAGCUAAUAUCACAAAUUUACUCCCAUUGUUCCACACAUAGACAUAGUAUUUUAGUCUAUUUGCUACAUAGCCAAUUUGGGCGAUUAUCUUGUGAAAGGUAAGUACCAUUGUCUAGAUUAUUGUUUUAGAUAAUAUACUAGUUUCUUCAAUUUAUAUAUUUUUUCUUCUUGACUUUUAACUUCAUAUCCCUAUGGUUGUUUCAUAUAAAUGUCUUCUUUUAAUUCUUCAUUUAAGAAAGCUGUCUUAAAAUCUAAUUGAUAUAAUUCCCCGUCAUAAUAUGCUACCAAUGCGAAUAUUAUACUUAUAGAUGCAAUUUUUUCUACAGGAGAAUAUGUCUCUACAUAAUCUACUCUUUUUUUAGUAGCAAUCUAGCCACUAAUCUUGCUUGAUAUUUAUCAAUAGUUGCAUCAGCUUUGAAUUUCUUUUUGAGGAUCCAUUUACACUCUAUAGCCUUCUUAUCUUCGGAUAGAUCUACAUGUUCCCACACUUGAUUUCUUUCAAUAUAGUUAAUUUCAUCAUCCAUGGCAUUGAUUCAUUCAAAUGAUUCAGGUGAGUUGAUGGCUUCACUAUAAGCACACGGUUCAUCUAUCUCAUCCUCAUUCAAGAAUAUAUAAUAUUCAUAUAGAUACAAAGGAGGACCUCUGAUAAUAGUGAUAAAAAAAUAUUUUUCUUUAUUAGGUAAAGAGAUAAUAAAGAUAUGCAGAGAAGAAAAUAGUUGUGAAGUAUAUGGAUAACUGGAGAGAUGGGCAGAUAGCUUUUAGAUUUUGCUGUAUUUUUUUUCAAUGGGUUAGUUAAUCCCUUUUUUUAUAAACUUUGGAGUUUAUCUCCUUGCCACAAAUAACAGGUUUUACAUCCAAUGAUUAAGAUCUUUCUCUGCCCAUAUCAACAGUUAAACCGUCUUCCACUCUCACUCUCUUACUCUAAAGAAAACGUAUGGCUCAACAUGAAUAUUUUGGCUUAACAUGAACAUUUGAGCACUAUUAAUAGGUGGCUUAAAAAGGAAAAAGCAUGACAUUUACCAAAAAAAUGGUGGUCAAAGAAAUUAAAAGAAAUAAGAUCAUUAUAGAAAGUAAAUAAUAUUAUUACAUGUAUUAAAAAUAAAAAAAAGAUGGACCUUGAAGUAAAUGGUAGUCAUCAGGCCUUUGUGGCCAUACUCCAAUAGGUUAUUUGAGGGGAUAAUUACAGUUACCCCCAUGGACUAUACUUUUUGGCAUGUUCAUCUCCAACACUUUUUAAACUACACAACUAACUCCAGCAUUAUUUUUUUUUGAGCUCACCCCCUAAGUAAGAAAGUACAUUAUCUUAGAAUGAAAAUAGUCUCCCUUUUAUAACCCACAAAGAAAAAAAAUGAAGUUGAAGCCAUUUGAAUACAGACCAGAAGCCGAUCCGACAAUGCGUGUGUCAAACAUGCUUCAAGGAAUAAAUGAAGUUCAUUUAUGUUGGAUCAACUCUAAAUUAAUAAAAAUCCAGGUGGCCAAACACACUUUGUGCUAGACAGGCUCUAAAUUAAUAAAAAUCCAUGCGGUUCAGCACUCAUGUGCUACAAUGUGUCUAAAUUUGGUCCCAAGAGCAGUUUGGCAUGGUGUGUUCCGGACUGACCUGAAAAUUAUUAUAGAAGGGGGUAUUUUCAUCCUAAGGAAAUUCCUUACUUGUGGGGAAGGUGCAAAAAUAAAUAGUAUUGGUUAGUUGUAAAAAGUGUUGUUUAUUUUUCACGGGGUGCGGGUAGGGUUAUGCCCAAAAACCGGAAGGGGCAUGCCCAAAAACCAUGAUCUAGGGGGUAUCCAUACUUUUCUAUUUUCUUUACUGUAUUCAUUUUUUUAUCAUGAACCUUUGAGAGCGGUACUAGAAGGUCAAAGUAUGAUUUUUUUGUUUUUUUUUUUUAAAAAAAAGUUUAUAUGGAGCCGAUGCGACAAACAAUCAAAUUAGAGCCCACCUCAAAAACUUCACUAGAAGUGGUUGUUUUGAUUGCCAAAUAUCCUCAAAUUGAUCAUCUCAAUAUCAACAUGCAUGGACAUGAGAAAAAUACGGAUUUCAAGGUUUGGAAAUAGUGCAUAUUGUAACGUAUUUUUGGACCGUCAAUUUUCUAGAUUUUCAUAGAUUUGCUCGAUCUACACUAUUUUUUAAGCUGUAAAUUUUAUAAUUAAAUAUAAAAAUAUAUUUUAAGGCUAUCACAAAGGUUUUCAAUAUUGAAAUCACCUUUCUCUACACUAUUUGAAGGUGCACUUUACUUUGAUUGUUUAGAGCCUCGGCUCUAUACAAACUGCACCCUUUUAUUUUUAAUGUGAUAUGAUAAAGGGUAAAAAUGCUCAAGACAUAAGUCAUAAAAAAAAUGUAAAUACUCAAAAAUAAAAAACAAAACAAAGGAAAAAUUACAAAAGACUUUUGGUAUGUAAAUAUAUAGAGUGAAAAAUUACCCAUUGGAUGUUCAACCUGACAAUCGGAUGAAGCGAGCAAAUUCUAUAUGAAAGGAAUUUCAAAUUUUCAAUGACUUGGGUUUGAAAAGAAUGGGUGUUCGCCAUCCGAGUAUUUGGAUCAUUUGAAUUCACCACUACUGCCAAAAGUGGUAUGCAAAGCUCUCAUGAAGAAAUAGAAGUUUUUUUUUUUUUUUGAAGGUUUUGUGCUAGAGUGAGAGUAGAAUAAUAAACAAACUUUUAGACACAAUAAUUACCAGGGUGCGUAUUGGUAUGGUUUGCUAGGAUUUUCACAUACGUUGAGAUUUUAUAUGGGGGAGGUGAUAAUGAUGGGAAUUCAUAAAAAAAGACUCAUCAAUGUGGGAUGCGAUCAGUAAUCAAGCAGAAUUUUGAUGGAAGUUAUAUGAGUAAUUCAAGACCUGCGGGGCUUGAUAAGGGUUCAGGGCUUGAUAAAGGUUCAUCUGGGUACUAAAUUGUUUAGGGCUGUGUGGAAAUGCAUCUUACCAAAGAAACAAAGAUGAGAGCAGCUUUUCAGGGAUUGAGAAUUAUAUAGAAUAAUUAUUGCAGCGAGGGGUUUACUAAAUGUUGUAAAAUAGUCUAAGGAGCAGAAAAUUCUUUGGAAAGUGGUAAUGCUGUUGUUUAAAAUACUUGAUUUAUGUGAGGCCAUUUAGGUUGAGCACAUAUAUAAGAAAGCAAAUGGGGAAGCACAUUCAUCGGGUAAAUAGGGUAUUCACUCUUGGCGACGAGUUUUUUGAAGUGGUAAUGGUUUUUUUAUAGGUUGAGUUUAAAUCUUGGACCUGAAUGGUUCGGGUUCGGGUUCGGGUCCGGGACUGGGCCCGGGUCCAGGUCCAAGUCCAAAUCUUGGACCCGAAUAUUAUUUGGGUUCAGGUUUGGUAAUAUUUUUCAAGACCCAACAUAUGAAAUAUAGCAAAUAGUUAAAUGCAUAGAUAUUUUAAUUUUUAGUCGGGUCUGAUUAGGUCUGGGUUCCACAUUAUAUUUUUAGAUCCCGGUUUAGGUUAGGGUCCCAUAUCAUUUUUUCAGGUCUAGACCCGUACCGACCCAUUACCACCCCUAGCAAAAGAAAAAAUAAUUACUCCACAAAAAAAAUAUUUUCAACAAUGCCUUCAAUAAAUUUCUAGAGGCCUUUCUUGAUUAUUUAGAAACUUUAAACAAAUCCAGCUUGGUCACGCAAAUCCUUUUCCCUAGUGAUUUUUUUCCUAAAUCUCGCCUAGCUUCUCUAGGGGGUCUUUCUUCUCCGCAAUCCUAAAUACAUUCCACUCACUAAGGAGUGGCAUGCGCUUGAUUCCUAUACAAAUUAUUAGAGUUAGGUUGAAUGAGAAGUAGAAUACAUUUAAGGGUCAUUUGGAUACCCGAAAAUAUGUCGUUUGUGAAAUAUAUUACUCGCCUAAUACAUUAUUUGUAAAUGGAUGGUUACUGUUUGGGUAAUAUUUAAAUGCAAGUUGGGUAUGCAACUUGAGUAAUAUUUAGAUGCAAUCUACCUGUAAAUGAAUGGUUACUGUUUAGGUAAUAUUUAGACCCAACUUGGGUAAUAUUUAGAUGCUAUGUGUAGAAAAAAAUAUGAGAAAUGCAUCACCAAUAUUUUACUAGCACUUGUCUAUAACCUAUCAUUUCUCUCUUUUUUGUCACGAAAUUCUAUUGAAAUGUGGAAUUAAAACUACCAUCACAUCAUUCUAAAAAGAUUUUUUAAUAAUAUCAUCAUCAAGAGCAAGAGAAUUUAAUAAUAAAAAAAAAAAGACAUCAAGAACACACAAAAAAAACCUUUUAAAAUAAUUUAUGUGUUUUGUUUUCCUUUGGGGUUGGGCAAUGCUAUCAUGAGAUGGGUCAAAAGCCAUGUUCAUGUUCCUUCCAUGGGGGCUUCAUGUUCCUUCCAGGGGAGCUUUGGACACUGAGAAUCGAAUAGCAGAGCUGGAGAGUUUCUUGAAAACAACCACUAAGAUGUUGCAGGUUCUGGUGGAGGUUAUAGAUUUGAAGAUUGCAAAUGAAAUUGGGAGUUUGAGGAGAGAGUUUGGGUAAAAAGUUGAGAAGCAAGAUGCUGAAUUUUCCAAUGAGAUAAAGGAUUUAGAGAGUAGGACUGUUGGGUUAGAGGAAUGCUUCAUUUUCCAAUGAGAUAAAGAAUUUAGAGAGUAGGACUGUUGAGUUAGAGGAAUCACUGAAUAAAUUUAGUGAUAUGGGUCGGCUGACGGGCUAGGCUGGGUGGACAUUGCAAUGGCUUCAGGAGGGGUAAAGUGGUUAGACACUCAGAAGCUUAUUAUUUUGGUAAGGUUGGGAAUUGGCUUCCUGUUAUCAAAGGAAGAAAUGGAGUACACAGUAAUGCACAGAAGAACACAGCAAAAACGAUCUAGGUUUUCAAUAAAGGGAAGCCAAUAAAAAAUAAGAACGAAUUUAAGAGAUUACACCCUCCAUUUACCAUCUUAAACAAGAACACAAAAAAGAGGCAACAAAAAGAAAAUGUGAGAGAAAGAGGUUUAGAGAGAGAAACACACCUGAUAUGAUAUAUCAGAAGCUUGAAGAGAGCUCUAAUGGCAACCGAGUCAAUGGAGAUGAGAGGAUUAGGUUUCAGGCACAGAGAGAGGGAGACAGAAGGAAGAGAGAGAGAGCACUUUAUGAGGAAAAAAAUAAGAGGGCUCUGAGCCUGUAGCUUUAUGGACGAGAAUGAAGAACAGUCUGGCUUAUAAAUUGGGAGUACGUGUUC
rnacentral:lncRNA from 1 species